UAUAUAAUUAGUAAAUUAAGCUUUAUAAAAUUAUUUCCCUAAAAUAACUAAACUUAUUUUAAUGUUACUAUUCAUACAGUAGAUUAUUUUUCAAUUCUCAGAAGAAAUUUUACUGUAGCCACUCCACCCAAGUUGGCAUGCAACAACUUGACGCAUUCGGCGGUAACAAUUAAUUAGUUAAAUGAAAUUAGGUAUUAUCGAUAAUCUAGGCCCAUUUACUUCCAUGUAUUUCCUUUGUUUUUCCCUUAUAUUUUUGCGACCUGGGCAAACCAUGCUGGAGGCAGGGACCCGCUAAUAGACUCUCGGGUUUGGGAUUGGAGAAGGAAAAUUGAUAUAUUUAAUGGGCAAUAGAGGCUUGGAGCUUGUCAAACCUGUAGCUGUAAACAAAUUUUGGGUUAUGGGGCUAUACAAAGGAAUUAAGGAUGAAGAAGG